GUUUUCUUGAACAUUUUAAUAUCACCAUCCUGACUGGUGUGAGAUGGUAUCACACUGGGGUUUUGAUUUGCAUUUCUCUAAUGAUCAGUGAUGUUAAGCUUUUUUUCAUGUUUGUUGGCUGCAUAAAUGUCUUCUUUCGUGAAAGAUACAUGCACUCAUAUGCUCAUUUCAGCACUAUUCACAAUAGCAAAGACAUGGAAUCAACCCAAAUGCCCAUCAAUGAUAGACUGGAUCAAGAAAAUGUGGUACAUAUACACCAUGGAAUACUAUGCAGCCAUAAAAAGGAAUGAGAUCAUGUCUUUUACAGGGACAUGGAUGGACCUGGAAGCCAUCAUCCUCAGCAAACUGACACAGGAACAGAAAAGCAAACACUGAAUGUUCUCACUUAUAAGCAGGAGAUGAACAAUGAGAACACAUGGACCAGGGAGAGGAACAACACACACUAGGGCUUGUUGGUGAGGCAGGGGGAGGAAGAGCAUCAGGAUAAAUAGCUAAUACAUGCAGGGCUUAAUACCUAGGUGAUGGGCUGAUAGUGCGGCAAACCAGUAUGGCACACAUUUAUCUAUGUAACAAACCUGCAGGUCCUGCACAUGUAUCCCGGAACUUAAAAUUAAAUUAAAAAAAAAAAAGAAAAUAGAGGACAGAUGGUCAGGCCAAAGAUCCUAUGAGCCUACAGCCUAUUAAUUUACUGAGAGCUUCAAAUUUACACACCUUAAGAAUCCAAUAUAACAAAAAGUAAGAGAAAAUGUUUUCUUUAGGGAUAUGUGAAAUGGCGCAAAUCAAGUCACUUGUAUUGACUGCUGGCCAAUCUGAAUAUAGUGAGAAGUUGUCCAUAGUGCUUUACAUACAAAACUGC
rnacentral:lncRNA from 10 species